rnacentral:rRNA from 1 species
AACGAACGCUGGCGGCAGGCCUAACACAUGCAAGUCGAACGGUAGCACAGAGAGCUUGCUCUCGGGUGACGAGUGGCGGACGGGUGAGUAAUGUCUGGGAAACUGCCCGAUGGAGGGGGAUAACUACUGGAAACGGUAGCUAAUACCGCAUAACGUCGCAAGACCAAAGUGGGGGACCUUCGGGCCUCACACCAUCGGAUGUGCCCAGAUGGGAUUAGCUAGUAGGUGGGGUAAUGGCUCACCUAGGCGACGAUCCCUAGCUGGUCUGAGAGGAUGACCAGCCACACUAGAACUGAGACACGGUCCAGACUCCUACGGGAGGCAGCAGUGGGGAAUAUUGCACAAUGGGCGCAAGCCUGAUGCAGCCAUGCCGCGUGUAUGAAGAAGGCCUUCGGGUUGUAAAGUACUUUCAGCGGGGAGGAAGGCGGUGAAGUUAAUAACUUCACCGAUUGACGUUACCCGCAGAAGAAGCACCGGCUAACUCCGUGCCAGCCGCCGCCGUAA